rnacentral:rRNA from 1 species
UACGGAGGGAGCUAGCGUUGUUCGGAAUUACUGGGCGUAAAGCGCGCGUAGGCGGCUUUGUAAGUUAGAGGUGAAAGCCCGGAGCUCAACUCCGGAACUGCCUUUAAGACUGCAUCGCUUGAAUCCAGGAGAGGUGAGUGGAAUUCCGAGUGUAGAGGUGAAAUUCGUAGAUAUUCGGAAGAACACCAGUGGCGAAGGCGGCUCACUGGACUGGUAUUGACGCUGAGGUGCGACAGCGUGGGGAGCAAACAGG